UCCCUGGAGGAUUAGUGGUUAGGCCUCGGUGCUCUCACCAUCAAGGCCCGGGCUCGAUUCCUGGCCAGAGAA